GUGGGGAAUCUUGCGCAAUGGGCGAAAGCCUGACGCAGCCAUGCCGCGUGAAUGAUGAAGGUCUUAGGAUUGUAAAAUUCUUUCACCGGGGACGAUAAUGACGGUACCCGGAGAAGAAGCCCCGGCUAACUUCGUGCCAGCAGCCGCGGUAAUACGAAGGGGGCUAGCGUUGCUCGGAAUUACUGGGCGUAAAGGGCGCGUAGGCGGACAGUUUAGUCAGAGGUGAAAGCCCAGGGCUCAACCUUGGAAUUGCCUUUGAUACUGGCUGUCUUGAGUACGGGAGAGGUGAGUGGAACUCCGAGUGUAGAGGUGAAAUUCGUAGAUAUUCGGAAGAACACCAGUGGCGAAGGCGACUCACUGGCCCGUUACUGACGCUGAGGCGCGAAAGCGUGGGGAGCAAACAGCAUUAGAAACCCGUGUAGUCC
rnacentral:rRNA from 1 species